CUCGUGAGCACUGGUUAAAUGCAAUCCAUGGAAAAUUGGAACAAAUACAAUAGCAACGGUUGCUGUGAGGAUAACAUAAGAAAAGAGCAACAUCAUAUAUUGUGCUCCAUAUGUAAAAAUCUCGCUUGGAACGCCGAGUAAAGUUAUAGCAGAAAGAGAUGUGGCUAGUAGCGAUAUAGCGAUGGGAAAUGUCUUCAUACUACGAUUACCAAGUAAAUAUUCACUGGUCGUACGUUGUCUUCCGCCAGUACAGCCAUGGUAUAUACCAAUACCUGCAGAAAUUAACAACAUUAAACCAAACAAGACAUAAUCCACAGGAUGAAAUGUUCUUUCCUGUUCUGCCAUUUUUAAUAGAUACUCAACCAGAACAGACAGAAC